rnacentral:rRNA from 1 species
UACGGAGGGUGCAGGCGUUAAUCGGAAUUACUGGGCGUAAAGCGUGCGCAGGCGGUUUGUUAAGUCUGCUGUGAAAUCCCCGAGCUCAACUUGGGAAUUGCAGUGGAUACUGGCAAGCUGGAGUACGGUAGAGGAAGGUGGAAUUCCCGGUGUAGCAGUGAAAUGCGUAGAGAUCGGGAGGAACACCAGUGGCGAAGGCGGCCUUCUGGACCAGUACUGACGCUCAUGCACGAAAGCGUGGGGAGCAAACAGG